ACAGGGGUGGAAUUACGGCUGCAGUUUUCUAUAUAGAAAAGUCUCUUUUCUACGUAGAAAAGAUUCUUUUCUAUAUAGAAAAAGAAGCUUUUUCUACUUAAAACGUUUCAUUUUUAGAGUCAAUAGUAUGCUUGAUCGUAAUUAGUUUUUCAACAGAACCAAUAU